CAGCCGCCGCGGUAAUACGGAGGGUGCGAGCGUUAAUCGGAAUAACUGGGCGUAAAGGGCACGCAGGCGGUUAUUUAAGUGAGGUGUGAAAGCCCCGGGCUUAACCUGAGAAUUGCAUUUCAGACUGGGUAACUAGAGUACUUUAGGGAGGGGUAGAAUUCCACGUGUAGCGGUGAAAUGCGUAGAGAUGUGGAGGAAUACCGAAGGCGAAGGCAGCCCCUUGGGAAUGUACUGACGCUCAUGUGCGAAAGCGUGGGGAGCAAACAGGAUUAGAUACCCCCGUAGUCCCUGUCUCUUAUAC
rnacentral:rRNA from 1 species